GAUGAACGCUAGCGGCAGGCUUAAUACAUGCAAGUCGAGGGGCAGCGGGUGUAGCAAUACAUGCCGGCGACCGCGCACGGGUGCGUAACGCGUAUGUAACCUACCUUUAACUGGAGGAUAGCCCCGAGAAAUCGGGAUUAAUACUCCAUAAAAUUAUGAGAAGGCAUCUUUUUAUAAUUAAAGCUCCGGCGGUUUUAGAUGGGCAUGCGUGACAUUAGCUAGUUGGUGAGGUAACGGCUCACCAAGGCUCCGAUGUCUAGGGGUUCUGAGAGGAUUAACCCCCACACUGGUACUGAGACACGGACCAGACUCCUACGGGAGGCAGCAGUAAGGAAUAUUGGGCAAUGGACGCAAGUCUGACCCAGCCAUCGCCGCGUGAAGGAUGACAGCCCUAUGGGUUGUAAACUUC
rnacentral:rRNA from 1 species